AACGAACGCUGGCGGCAGGCCUAACACAUGCAAGUCGAACGCUCCAGCAAUGGAGAGUGGCAGACGGGUGAGUAACGCGUGGGAACCUUCCCUAUGGUUCGGAAUAGCUCAGGGAAACUUGAGGUAAUACCGGAUAAGCCCUUCGGGGAAGGAUUAUCGCCAUUGGAUGGCCCGCGUAGGAUUAGCUAGUUGGUGAGGUAACGGCUCACCAAGGCGACGAUCCUUAGCUGGCUGAGAGGAUGAUCAGCCACACUGGGACUGAGACACGGCCCAGACUCCUACGGGAGGCAGCAGGUGGGGAAUAUUGGACAAUGGGCGGCAAGCCUGAUCCAGCCAUGCCGCGUGAGUGACGAAGGCC
rnacentral:rRNA from 1 species